GCGGGCGCCCCGUGAAGCCCACCUGGAUCCGCCAGCGCUGUGCCACUCCCCAGUGCCGAGCUCCGAGCUGUCUCCGCGGCCUCGCGCCCGGCCCCUCCACCGCGCACCUCUUAGGCCCCGCCCGCCAGCGUCCCUUUGUUGUGAAGGCGCCGGGGCCUAGCGCUAUGCCUGCGGCGGAGACUGCAUCAGGCUCUCGUCCUCGGGCUCCACCCGGGGAGCUGUGCCCAGACAGCAGAAGGGAAGGAUGUCACUUCUGAGAUGAGGUUCAGAAAGGCCUGGGCUCCUGUCCUGGCUGCUCUCUCCCACUCCCUGAUGAGCUUGCUGGAUGAAAGCUCCUGUCAGGCUGUGGGGCGUCCUGUGGAGAAGCUGGCAAGAAACUGGUGGGGGCCCUUUCCACCUAUAGCCAGCAAGGAACUGAACCCAGCCAGCGUCCACCUGAGUGAGCUCAGAGGUGGGCCUCAGCCCCAGUUGAGCCUUCGGAUGAGGUCACAGCCCUGGUCCAUGGUGUGACUGCAGCUUCAGGAGGGACCUUAAGCCAGAGGUGCCUGGCUAAGCUUCCCGCAGAUUGCUGCCCCACAGGAGCCAACAUCAAAAGCAUUUGUUGUUUUGAGGUGCGUCUGCUUCUACGCUUUGCCUGGGAGAGGCCCUGGUGGCCUCGUUCCUGGCGCCCGGAGUCCCUGCUGCGGCCCCACCCCCGGGCGGUCACGGUGACCCAUGCUGCCCAGCCUGGAGGUAAAAUCGUUCGUGGCUGUGGCUUCAGCAUGUCGUCCUCGGUGAAAACCCCAGCACUGGAAGAGCUGGUUCCUGGCUCCGAAGAGAAGCCGAAAGGCAGGUCGCCUCUCAGCUGGGGCUCUCUGUUUGGUCACCGAAGUGAGAAGAUUGUUUUUGCCAAGAGCGACGGCGGCACAGAUGAGAACGUACUGACCGUCACCAUCACGGAGACCACGGUCAUCGAGUCAGACUUGGGUGUGUGGAGCUCGCGGGCGCUGCUCUACCUCACGCUGUGGUUCUUCUUCAGCUUCUGCACGCUCUUCCUCAACAAGUACAUCCUGUCCCUGCUGGGAGGCGAGCCCAGCAUGCUAGGUGCGGUGCAGAUGCUGUCCACCACGGUUAUCGGGUGUGUGAAAACCCUCGUUCCUUGCUGUUUAUAUCAGCACAAGGCCCGGCUUUCCUACCCACCCAACUUCCUUAUGACGAUGCUGUUUGUGGGUCUGAUGAGGUUUGCAACUGUGGUUUUGGGUUUGGUCAGCCUGAAAAAUGUGGCGGUUUCGUUUGCUGAGACGGUGAAGAGCUCCGCCCCCAUCUUCACGGUGAUCAUGUCUCGGAUGAUUCUGGGGGAGUACACAGGACGUCCCAGUGAUCGGGAGGAGCGGGAAGAGCUUCAGCUACAACCAGGACGUGGUGCUGCUGCUUCUGACAGACGGAGUCCUGUUCCACCUUCAGAGCGUCACGGCGUACGCCCUCAUGGGGAAAAUCUCCCCGGUGACUUUCAGGCCCAGUAAAUGCGGAUGUUUAUCUUCCAUUGUUUGUUUCCUGAGAUUCAGAUGUCUAAAGCAUUUUUCUGUGACUUUUCAAGGCAAGAGGAAAACCUGACAUAUGGAAAGGGAAUUAAUUGCUCGUUUUAUCCUCUUCUCCUGCAAUGCUCUGAAUCCAUGGGUUUGGAGUGGGGCCCUGGGAGUUGGGGGAAGCACCAUACCCAGUGAGUCUGCACUUUGAGGACCCACUGCCAGUGUCAGCUUCAAAAUCACAUUGUAAAAGGCCCGGCGCGGUGGCUCACGCCUGUAAUCCCAGCACUUUAGGAGGACGAAGCAGGCGGAUCACUUGAGGUCAGGAGUUCGAGACCAGCCUGGCCAAUAUGGCGAAACCUCGUCUCUACCAAAAAUAUAAAAAUUAGCCGGGCGUGGUGGCGCGGGCCUGUGGUUCCAGCUACUCGGGAGGCUGAGGCAGGAAAAUUCCUUGAACCCGGGAGGAGGCUGCAGUGAGCCAAGACCACGCCACUGCACUCCAACCUGGGCGGCAGAGCAAGGCUCCGACUCAAAAGUAAAUACAUGAAUAAAUAAAAUAAAAUCACAUCGUAA
ensembl:lncRNA novel transcript